CAAUGGGGAAACCCUGAUGCAGCGACGCCGCGUGAGCGAAGAAGUAUUUCGGUAUGUAAAGCUCUAUCAGCAGGGAAGAUAAUGACGGUACCUGACUAAGAAGCCACGGCUAACUACGUGCCAGCAGCCGCGGUAAUACGUAGGUGGCAAGCGUUAUCCGGAAUUAUUGGGCGUAAAGCGCGCGUAGGCGGUAAAUAAGUCUGAUGUGAAAGCCCCCGGCUCAACCGGGGAGGGUCAUUGGAAACUGUUUUACUUGAGUACAGAAGAGGAGAGUGGAAUUCCAUGUGUAGCGGUGAAAUGCGCAGAGAUAUGGAGGAACACCAGUGGCGAAGGCGGCUCUCUGGUCUGUUACUGACGCUGAGGUGCGAAAGCGUGGGGAUCAAACAGGAUUAGAUACCCUGGUAGUCCACGCCGUAAACGAUGAGUGCUAAGUGUUGGGGGGUUUCCGCCCCUCAGUGCUGCAGCUAACGCAUUAAGCACUCCGCCUGGGGAGUACGACCGCAAGGUUGAAACUCAAAGGAAUUGAC
rnacentral:rRNA from 1 species